AGCGAACGCUGGCGGCAGGCCUAACACAUGCAAGUCGAACGGACCCUUCGGGGUUAGUGGCGGACGGGUGAGUAACACGUGGGAACGUGCCUUUAGGUUCGGAAUAGCUCCUGGAAACGGGUGGUAAUGCCGAAUGUGCCCUUCGGGGGAAAGAUUUAUCGCCUUUAGAGCGGCCCGCGUCUGAUUAGCUAGUUGGUGAGGUAACGGCUCACCAAGGCGGCGAUCAGUAGCUGGUCUGAGAGGAUGACCAGCCACACUGGGACUGAGACACGGCCCAGACUCCUACGGGAGGCAGCAGUGGGGAAUCUUGCGCAAUGGGCGAAAGCCUGACGCAGCCAUGCCGCGUGAAUGAUGAAGGUCUUAGGAUUGUAAAAUUCUUUCACCGGGGACGAUAAUGACGGUACCCGGAGAAGAAGCCCCGGCUAACUUCGUG
rnacentral:rRNA from 1 species